rnacentral:rRNA from 1 species
UACGAACCGUACAAACGUUAUUCGGAAUCACUGGGCUUAAAGGGUGCGUAGGCGGCCAUGUAAGUGGGGUGUGAAAUCCCUCGGCUCAACCGAGGAACUGCGCUCCAUACUGCAUGGCUUGAGGGAGACAGGGGUAAGCGGAACUGAUGGUGGAGCGGUGAAAUGCGUUGAUAUCAUCAGGAACACCGGUGGCGAAAGCGGCUUACUGGGUCUCUUCUGACGCUGAGGUACGAAAGCUAGGGUAGCGAACGGG